GCGAGCGAUCAGCAGGCACAUGUUCAGACUACCAACCCGGGGAUGACCUUACAGACAAGAUGCAGGGCUGGGACCGUUACAGGCGCAGACCUUCAGCUAAAAGAGAGGCUGCACAUCACCUCCGAAUAAUUCUGAUUCCUGUGUGUCCUGAGAUGAGACGGUGGGAUGGAGCUUGCCUCUAGCCUAUUCCCCCUGCACCUGGAAGAUAGCCUACUUCUGUGUCUGCUUUUAAGAACUGCUGCCCACGCCAUCAGCAUACCUAAGAGGGUCCUGCACCUUUGCCAAGCAACCAAGUGAAAGAAGCCAUUGCCAAAGUCUGUAUGGAGCUCUGCAACCAGUAGCUCCGCUGCUCUGAUCAUGGGAGGGAGCUCACGAUGGGAACUGAACCACUCUCAACAUGUUGGAGACACAAUGGGCAGAUCCAAAGGUGCUAUGCUGCCAUUAACUGGAGGUCUUACCUUGGCCUGAUUACCCCAACUCAAGAGCCACAGCUAUCGACGCUCAUCAAGAAACUGUGUCCUCAUAAAAUGCUGGGGGACACAAAAUUCAAUGCUCAUUUGAAAAGUUAAAUAUAACUUACUGUAAGCCCUG